UAACGAAUCUUCCGCAAUGCACGCAAGUGUGACGGAGCGACGCCGCGUGUGGGACGAAGUCCUUCGGGAUGUAAACCACUGUCAGGGGUUACCAAGUUCUGAGGAACCCCAGAGGAAGGCACGGCUAACUCUGUGCCAGCAGCCGCGGUAAGACAGAGGUGCCAAGCGUUAGGCGGAAUCACUGGGCUUAAAGCGUGUGUAGGCGGGUCGUUAAGUGUCUUGUGAAAUCCCCCGGCUCAACCGGGGAAUGGCUGGGCAUACUGGCGAUCUUGAGCAGUCUAGGGGCAGAUGGAACAGACGGUGGAGCGGUGAAAUGCGUAGAUAUCGUCUGGAACGCCAAAGGUGAAGACAGUCUGCUGGGGACUUGCUGACGCUGAGACACGAAAGCCAGGGGAGCGAACGGGAUUAGAUACCCCCGUAGUCC
rnacentral:rRNA from 1 species